CUGAAGUCAGGGCUUUUGAAAUGACUAGAUGGUGAUGAGGACCAAUCAGUAGCUGUAAUGUCAAGGUCAACCUAUAUGGCUCAACCAGUCAAGAGAGGAACCUGCAGAAACUUACAAAUCUUUAAAGGUACCUUUGGAUCCAUCAAACUCACGUCGUGCAGUUGGAUUCCUCCUCAUGAGAAUUCUGGAUUUUAUGCUCACUGGCUGUGUGCACUGGCUCACCAUUCACCACCUGCCUGCCCUUCUGCCCACGCUGUCUCGGACUGCAGAGCGCUCUCUGGAUCUGGACUCCCGGCUCACCCAACUUUGCACCGGUCACUCACCUGGCCUUCCGCAGCUACCCUCCCAUGCUGACUACCUCUCGUCUGUAAAAAGCUCCACUUAUCAUGGGCUUCCCCUGUGCACCUGAGAACUCCCUGUGCCUUUUUAUUAGUUGUAAAUACUUCAGUGAUUCUGACGAUAAAAUUUUGUUGGUUUUGGAGUUUGGCUGUCUGUGUCUGGUUCUGCAUUUG